AAUGGACGCAUUUGAGCAGAUUGAAGCAUCAUCCGUGGUCACGUGCUCUAUGGUUGCCUGUUUGUGUAGUGAGUAGAGACCGACCAAUAACGAAACCGCCUGAAGGGGGAUUCAGCAUCUGUUGUGUUCAGAGGCUCCAUGGAGGGGCAUGAAGGCCAGUAAUCAACAUGCUCAAGCUGAUUUAAGUGUUUUCCAUGGUAACAAGAUCUAUGGUCUCCUCUGUGUAAAGCAUUGAGAUGAAAUCAUGGACACGCUGUAGCUGACCGAGCCCUUGGCCAUCAUCAGGCGCUCCACUGGUCGGCCCUCUGUAGAGGUGCAUAACGGACCCGCCCUAACUGAUUUCAAGAUUCUUCUGUGGUGAUGGUCUUGACCAUGGAUCUCUGUGUCAAACAAGAGGGUGACUGAGUCAAUACUGUGCCCUGGCGG